rnacentral:rRNA from 1 species
UACGUAGGUGGCAAGCGUUAUCCGGAUUUAUUGGGCGUAAGGGGAACGCAGGCGGUCUUUUAAGUCUGAUGUGAAGGCCUUCGGCUUAACCGGAGUAGUGCAUUGGAAACUGGGAGACUUGAGUGCAGAAGAGGAGAGUGGAACUCCAUGUGUAGCGGUGAAAUGCGUAGAUAUAUGGAAGAACACCAGUGGCGAAAGCGGCUCUCUGGUCUGUAACUGACGCUGAGGUUCGAAAGCGUGGGUAGCAAACAGG